rnacentral:rRNA from 1 species
AAAAACAUGUCUAUAUGAUUGUUAUAUAAAGUCUAGCCUGCCCACUGAUUUGUUUUAAAGGGCCGCGGUAUAUUGACCGUGCGAAGGUAGCAUAAUCAUUAGUCUUUUAAUUGGAGGCUUGUAUGAAUGGUUGGACAAAAAGUAAGCUGUCUCGGUUAUAAUAAUUGAACUUAACUUUUAAGUGAAAAGGCUUAAAUGUUUCAGGGGGACGAUAAGACCCUAUAAAGCUUGACAAUAAUUUCGUUAUAUUAUAAAUUGUUAGUAUAACUUGAUUUUAACGGGAGUUUGUUUCGUUGGGGCGACGGGAAUAUAAUAAAUAACUGUUCUUUUAAAUAUAAUUACAAAAAUACUUGGUAAACAAUUGAUCCUCUAUUAGAGAUUAAAAGAUUAAGUUACUUUAGGGAUAACAGCGUAAUCUUCUUUGAGAGUCCACAUCGACAAGAAGGUUUGCGACCUCGAUGUUGAAUUA